CUCUUUAAUUAAUUAUGUAAAGUAGGCCCUGCUCACUGACUCUGUUAAAUAGCCGCAGAAUUUUAACUGUGCUAAGGUAGCAUAAUCACUUGUAGCUUAAUUGGCUUCUAGUAUAAAAGGGUUGACGAAAAAAAAUCUAUCUUAACUUUACUUCUUGAAAUUUAUAUUAGAGUAAAAACCCUCUAAAACUCUAGAAAGACGACAAGACCCUAGAACCUUAUAAUUUAUUGGGGGAAUAAGAAAUAUUUAAAUACUUCUUAAUUAAACACUAUGAAUGACCUUUACUUACUAAUUUUAAAUCCAAUACAGGUACUCUAGGGAUAACAGCACAAUUUUCCUCAAGAGUUCUUAUCGACAGGAGAGAUUGUGACCUCGAUGUUGAAUUGGUACUUCUCUUUUAAGCAACCUUAAACUAUAGAAGGUCUGUUCGACCUUUAAUUUACCACA
rnacentral:rRNA from 1 species